rnacentral:lncRNA from 1 species
GUCUGUAAAUUGUGUCUUUUAAGGAUAAUUUAGUUUGUAUCAAGUAGAUACAUUGAUAGGACACAGUGUCUGUAAAUUGUGUCUUUUAAGGAUAAUUUAGUUUGUAUCAAGUAGAUACAUUGAUAGGACACAGUGUCUGUAAAUUGUGUCUUUUAAGGAUAAUUUAGUUUGUAUCAAGUAGAUACAUUGAUAUGACACAGUGUCUGUAAAUUGUGUCUGAUAAGGAUAAUUUAGUUUGUAUCAAGUAGAUACAUUGAUAGGACACAGUGUCUGUAAAUUGUGUCUUUUAAGGAUAAUUUAGUUUGUAUCAAGUAGAUACAUUGUUAGGAAACAGUGUCUGUAAAUUGUGUCUUAUGAGGAUAAUUUAGUUUGUAUCAAGUAGAUACAUUGAUAGGACAAAGUGUCUGUAAAUUGUGUCUUUUAAGGAUAAUUUAGUUUGUAUCAAGUAGAUACAUUGAUAAGACACAGUGUCUGUAAAUUGUGUCGUUUAAGGAUGAUUUAGUUUGUAUCAAGUAGAUACAUUGAUAUGACACAGUGUCUGUUAAUUAUGUCUUUUAAGGAUAAUUUAGUUUGUAUCAAGUAGAUACAUUGAAAAGACACAAUGUCUGUAAAUUGUGUAUUUUAAGGAUAAUUUAGUUUGUAUCAAGUAGAUACAUUGAUAGGACACACAGUGUCUGUAAAUUGUGUAUUUUAAGGAUAAUUUAGUUUGUAUCAAGUAGAUACAUUGAUAGGACACAGUGUCUGUAAAUUGUGUAUUUUAAGGAUAAUUUAGUUUGUAUCAAGUAGAUACAUUGAUAGGACACAGUGUCUGUAAAUUGUGUAUUUUAAGGAUAAUUUAGUUUGUAUCAAGUAGAUACAUUGAUAGGACACGGUGUUUGUAAAUUGUGUAUUUUAAGGAUAAUUUAGUUUGUAUCAAGUAGAUACAUUGAUAGGACACAGUGUCUGUAAAUUGUUCCUUUUUAGUAUUUUUGAUUUGUAUCAAGUAGAUACAUCAGAAACAUAGUGUACAUGUCUAGUGGCUUUCGAAGCGUUCCGUAAAUUGUAUAAUUAUGAUAUCAUUUGGCCACCACUUUUAGAAUCACUUAAGGCAUUUUUAUUGCAUGCAACUAUAUUUAUUGCUUAUAUGUCACUUGAAACAAAUUAAAUGGGUUUAUAGGACAGCUAACUGUUAUCCGUAAAGAAAGAUCACGUUGCAAAAUUUUGCUAUCUAUUAUUGUUAUCCCAUUCUCAAAAACGGAUCAAUGUUGUCAUGGUACAUGUAUAGAAAUAACAGAAACUAAACUAGAAUAUUGUCUAAUUUAUUUGUAAAAAAUAUGAAAUGCAAAGACCAAAGGUUAAAGUCCCCUUAUUCUCUGACUUUGGUGACAAGUACCAGUGUUCAUGUGUUCUAAGUUUUUACAAGUUUGAAUACAUGUAGGAAUAAUGGAUUCAGUUUCAUUUUGAAUCGGAGAUAUGGUAAAAACCAAUAAGCAUGAAUAAAGCAGCCACAAGAAUGUACACCUUUGCCGCUUAGCUAUAUAUACAAUUGGGAGGUUGUUACAUAAAAUAGCCUGAAAUAUAUAAUAAGCCCGAUAUAUUCACAUCUGACGGCGUUACUUUAUCUCAUGUGGGCAAUUGUUUUUUUUUUUUUUUUCUUAUUUCAUUACAGGGUAAUUUAAAUAUAAAUAUAUGUGUGUGGUCAUUUAAAAGUACGGUCACGGCGGGUGUGUUGUGUCGCUACCGCAUUUGUGGCGGUGGUCGAACUCAGUGUCCAAUAACUCUUGGCAUAGCCACUGAAUUCGACCAUGUGGCGAAAAUAGCGACACAACAUCUACAAAUAUAUUAUGCUUCUUAUAAUGGAAUUAUGUAUCCGCUGAGCUUCUGUUUCCCAGGGCCAGCAUCCGAUAUAUAUUUUGGAAGCAAUAAUGUUAAUAAGGAUAUUAUAUUGAUAUAUAAGGAAAUGACAUUAUAAGGAAUAACAAUAAGGUGGAAAUAAGGAAUAAGAAUAAUGUGGAAAUAAGGAAUAAGGAAUGGACAAUAAUGUGGAAAUAAGGAAUAAGGAAUGGACAAUAAUGUGGAAAUAAGAAUAAGGAAUAAGGAAUGGACUAUAAGGUUUAAUUAUAUAUACUAGGGACUUGCCAAUUAUGUUUCUCGGCAGUCCCAUUCUUUGUCAAGCCGUGGCCGUACAAUUUUGUACUUUUGCCAAAUAAAAUAUUUCUUACUUUAUAUAUUUGUAUGUCAUUUGGCCCCACGUUGUCUCAGAUAAUAAGAUUUAUUCCUAUGAAGAAUAAAUCCGGUUAUCGGAGGAAAGUGGGCUUACGUUUUGGGAGUUGUCCCGCUUUGAACACGUGGUGGAACUUGUUAUGUAUUAUGAGUCACGUUAAUUAUUUUAACCUUGAUAACUGUGACGUCAUCAUUCUUUCUUUACCACGUACGAUACAGCAGAGGGAAGACGCAAAAAAUUGGGUUCCGUAUGAAUUAACUAAUGUUUGUUUCAAAAGUUACCCACCCACCCACCACUUAGAUAAAAGACAUACUCCUAAAAUGUAGUUAAUAUACAUGUGUUAAAUGUUAUAUUAUGUUAUAUCAUGUUGUUCGUUUUUCUGCUGUUUUUGUUCUAUUUUUCAGGUCUAAAUGACUGGUAGCUUAUUCCGUUUGUAAUCCCAAUCCUUCGUCACGGCUUCAGACAAAGACUCCGACCAUUGUAAUCCCAAUCCUUCGUCACGGCUUCAGACAAAGACUCCGACCAUUUAAUGGCGAAAAUAGCGACACAACAUCUACAAAUAUAUUAUGCUUCUUAUAAUGGAAUUAUGUAUCCGCUGAGCUUCUGUUUCCCAGGGCCAGCAUCCGAUAUAUUUUGGAAGCAAUAAUGUUAAUAAGGAUAUUAUAUUGAUAUAUAAGGAAAUGACAUUAUAAGGAAUAACAAUAAGGUGGAAAUAAGGAAUAAGAAUAAUGUGGAAAUAAGGAAUAAGGAAUGGACAAUAAUGUGGAAAUAAGGAAUAAGGAAUGGACAAUAAUGUGGAAAUAAGGAAUAAGGAAUGGACUAUAAGGUUUAAUUAUAUAUACUAGGGACUUGCCAAUUAUGUUUCUCGGCAGUCCCAUUCUUUGUCAAGCCGUGGCCGUACAAUUUUGUACUUUUGCCAAAUAAAAUAUUUCUUACUUUAUAUAUUUGUAUGUCAUUUGGCCCCACGUUGUCUCAGAUAAUAC